CAAAUGAUGCUGUGUUAGGUAGUGGACUGAUCCGAUUAUGCUGCAGCAUUUGUACGGACUGA
rnacentral:snoRNA from 1 species